GCGGGGGUAGCCAAGCGGCCAACGGCGAACGACUCAAGAUCGCUUCCCAUAGGGGUUCAGGGGUUCAAAUCCCUUCCCCCGCA
rnacentral:tRNA from 1 species